rnacentral:rRNA from 1 species
UACGAAGGGGGCUAGCGUUGCUCGGAAUUACUGGGCGUAAAGGGCGCGUAGGCGGCACUGUUAGUCAGGCGUGAAAUUCCUGGGCUCAACCUGGGGACUGCGCUUGAUACGGCAGAGCUUGAGGAUGGAGGAGGGUCGCGGAAUUCCCAGUGUAGAGGUGAAAUUCGUAGAUAUUGGGAAGAACACCGGUGGCGAAGGCGGCGACCUGGUCCAUUACUGACGCUGAGGCGCGACAGCGUGGGGAGCAAACGGG